UUCCGGUUGAUCCCGCCGGAGGUCACUGCUAUUGGGAUUCGACUAAGCCAUGCGAGUCGAGAGGGUUCGGCCCUCGGCAGACGGCUCAGUAACACGUGGAUAAUCUGCCCUUAGGUGGAGGAUAAUCUCGGGAAACUGAGGAUAAUACUCCAUAGAUCUAGGAUGCUGUAAUGCACUUAGAUUAAAAGCUCCGGCGCCUAAGGAUGAGUCUGCGGACUAUCAGGUAGUAGUCAGGGUAAAGACCUGACUAGCCUACGACGGAUACGGGUUGUGAGAGCAAUAACCCGGAGACGAUAUCUGAGACACGAUAUCGGGCCCUACGGGGCGCAGCAGGCGCGAAAACUUCACACUGUGCGAAAGCACGAUGAGGGAAUCCCAAGUGCUUGCUCGUAAGAGUAAGCUGUUUUUAUGUCCAAAAAGCAUAGAGAGUAAGGGCUGGGUAAGACGGGUGCCAGCCGCCGCGGUAAUACCUGCAGCUCGAGUGGUGACCACUAUUAUUGGGCCUAAAACGUUCGUAGCCGGUUUAUUAAAUGCUUGGGUAAAUCGUGUAGCUUAACUAUACGAAUUCCGGGUAGACUGAUAGACUUGAGACCGGGAGAAGCUAGAGGUACUCCUGGGGUAGAGGUGAAAUUCUGUAAUCCUGGGGGGACCACCAGUGGCGAAGGCGUCUAGCUAGAACGGGUCUGACGGUGAGGAACGAAGCCCUGGGGCGCAAACCGGAUUAGAUACCCGGGUAGUCCAGGGUGUAAACGCUGCUUGCUUGAUGUUAGUUGGGCUCCGAGCCCAAUUAGUGUCGGAGAGAAGUUGUUAAGCAAGCUGCCUGGGAAGUACGAUCGCAAGAUUGAAACUUAAAGGAAUUGGCGGGGGAGCACAGCAACGGGUGGAGCGUGCGGUUUAAUUGGAUUCAACGCCGGA
rnacentral:rRNA from 1 species